rnacentral:rRNA from 1 species
UACAGAGGGUGCAAGCGUUAAUCGGAAUUACUGGGCGUAAAGCGUGCGUAGUCGGUUAUUUAAGUCGGAUGUGAAAUCCCCGGGCUCAACCUGGGAAUUGCAUUCGAUACUGGAUAGCUAGAGUUCGGCAGAGGGAAGUGGAAUUUCGGGUGUAGCGGUGAAAUGCGUAGAUAUGCGGAGGAACACCGAUGGCGAAGGCAAUCCCCUGGGCCUGCACUGACGCUCAUGCACGAAAGCGUGGGGAGCAAACAGG